UACAGAGGGUGCAAGCGUUGUUCGGAAUCAUUGGGCGUAAAGGGCUCGUAGGUGGCCAACUAAGUCAGACGUGAAAUCCCUCAGCUUAACUGGGGAACUGCGUCUGAUACUGGAUGGCUUGAGUUUGGGAGAGGGAUGCGGAAUUCCAGGUGUAGCGGUGAAAUGCGUAGAUAUCAGGAGGAACACCGAUGGCGAAGGCAGGUCUCUGGGCAUUAACUGACGCUGAGGAGCGAAAGCAUGGGGAGCGAACAGG
rnacentral:rRNA from 1 species